rnacentral:rRNA from 1 species
UGCCGCCCUGAAGGGCGUAUGGUGGAUGCCUUGGCAGACAGUACCGAUGAAGGACGUUUGAGGAUGCGAUAAUCCUAGGGGAGCCUCCAACAUGGCUUUGAUCCUAGGGUCUCCGAAUGGGGGAACCCGCCGGCCGUCAUGGGCCGGCACCGCCUAUGGGCGGGGGGUACGCAGGGAAGUGAAACAUCUCAGUACCUGCAGGAAGGGAUACUCCGUGAGUAGUGGCGAGCGAAAGCGGAUCAGACCAAACCGGUUGCGCGUGAUACCCGUCGGGGGUUGCGUUGCCGGUGUUGUGGGAUCACGUGUCCCGGUUCCGACGGGCCGGGCGGGAGUCAUAAAACGGCUUGCCAGGGGAACAGGCUUGAAGGCCUGGCCGUAGAGGGUGCCAGCCCCGUACCUGGACGUGAGCCGUCUUCCGAUCGUGUUGUCCCAAGUAGCGCGGGCCUCGUGGAAUCCCGCGUGAAUCAGCCCAGACCGUUGGGUAAGUCUAAGCAUACCUGUCUGACCGAUAGCGUACCAGUACCGUGAGGGAAAGGUGAAAAGCACCCCGGGAGGGGAGUGAAACAGUUCCUGAAACCGUGCGCCCACAAACCGUCGGAGCCUCCUUGUGGGGUGACGGCGUGCCUAUCGAAAAAUGAGUCUGCGAGUCAGUGGCGGGUGGCGAGCAUAAGCCGUGUGGCGUAUGCGUAGCGAAAGCGAGUCUUAAAAGGCGUUUGUAGUCGCUUGUCCUGGACCCGAAGCGGGAUGAUCUAGCCCUGGGCAGGUUGAAGCGCGGGUAAGACCGCGUGGAGGACCGAACCCACCUGGGUUGAAAACCGGGGGGAUGACCUGGGGCUAGGGGUGAAAGGCCAAUCAAAUUCCGUGAUAGCUGGUUCUCUCCGAAAUGCAUUUAGGUGCAGCGUCGGUCGAUUGCGUCGCGGGGGUAGAGCUACCGGAUGCUUGCGGGCCCUUGUUGGGUACCAACAGCAGCCGAACUCCGAAUACCGUUGACGUGUAUUCCGGCAGUGAGUCGGCGGGGGAUAAGCUCCGUCGUCGAGAGGGAGACAGCCCAGACCGUCGUCUAAGGUCCCGAAGCGUGUGCUAAGUGGGAAAGGAUGUGGAGUCGCAUAGACAGCCAGGAGGUUGGCUCAGAAGCAGCCAUCCUUGAAAGAGUGCGUAACAGCUCACUGGUCUAGUGGUUCCGCGCCGACAAUGUAGCGGGGCUCAAGCACACCACCGAAGACGCGGCAGCAAUCUUCAUGGUUGCUGGGUAGGAGAGCGUCCUGCGAGGGGCGAAGCGGCGGUGGAAACCGGCCGUGGACUUCGUGGGAGUGAGAAUGCAGACAUGAGUAGCGAGAGACGGGUGAGGAUCCCGUCCGCUGGAUGACCAAGGGUUCCGGGGCCACGUUCGUCGUCCCCGGGUGAGUCGGGUCCUAAGGCGAGGCCGACAGGCGUAGUCGAAUGGAUGAACGGGUGGAUAUUCCCGUACCGACCAUGGACCGGCAAAACCGAGACGGUGAGUACUAACCUCCGCCUCGUGGUGGUUCCUUCCUUCGGGUUGGUAUCGCCGCGUGGUGUUGGGAGCGUAGCCGUAGUAGGUCAGCGCAGGGGUGACACGGAAUGGGAGCCGGCCGCGGAGGUGGUUUUCCGUGGUCAAGCACGCAGCCAGUCAUGUAGGCAAAUCCGCAUGGCGCGCAUGGCGAGGUGUGAUGAUGGGAGCCGUUAUGGCUCGAUAUCCGGUUGUCCAGGCCGUCGAGAAAAGCCUCGGCGUGAGGGCCAUGGCCGCCCGUACCCCAAACCGACACUGGUGGUCAGGUAGAGAAUACCAAGGCGAUCGAGCGAAUCCUGGUCAAGGAACUCGGCAAAUCACUCCCGUGCCUUCGGUAUAAGGGAGACCCGCUGGGGUGAACCGGCUAGCCCGGGGAGCUUUGGUGGGUGGCACAGACCAGGGGGUAGCGACUGUUUACCAAAAACACAGGUGCAUGCGAAGGCGAAAGCCGCUGUAUAUGCACUGACGCCUGCCCGGUGCCGGAAGGUUAAGAGGAUCCGUCAACUCUUCGGAGCGAAGCGGUGAAUUCAAGCCCCGGUAAACGGCGGUGGUAACUAUAACCAUCCUAAGGUAGCGAAAUUCCUUGUCGGGUAAGUUCCGACCUGCACGAAUGGCGUAACGACUUCCCCACUGUCUCGACCAGGAGCUCGGCGAAAUUGCAGUACGAGUAAAGAUGCUCGUUAAGCGCAGAAGGACGAAAAGACCCCGGGACCUUUACUAUACCUUGGUAUUGGCGUUAGGCGCGGAUUGUGUAGCAUAGGCGGGAGGCUUCGAAGCGGGUGCGCCAGCAUUCGUGGAGCCGCAAGGUGAAAUACCGCUCUGUUCUCGUUUGACGUCUAACCUCGACAAGUCAUCCUUGUCAGGGACAGUGCCUGGCGGGUAGUUCAACUGGGGCGGUUGCCUCCCAAAGAGUA